ACCAGGUGUAGUGGUGCACACCUGUAAUCCCAGCAACCUGGGAGGCUGAGACAGGAGGAUAAAGUUUGAGGCCAGCCUCAGCAACUUAGUAAAAUCCUGCCCCAA
rnacentral:sRNA from 1 species